rnacentral:rRNA from 1 species
GUCGCGGACGGGUGAGUAAUACAUAGGCAACCUGCCUUUAUGAGGGGGAUAACCGAGGGAAACUUUGGCUAAUACCGCAUGAAGACUCUAAGGCAUCUUAGAGGGAUAAAAGUUGGGAAACAACGCAUGAAGAUGGGCUUAUGGCGCAUUAGCUAGUUGGUGAGAUAGAAGCCCACCAAGGUAAUGAUGCGUAGCCGACCUGAGAGGGUGAACGGCCACAUUGGGACUGAGACACGGCCCAAACUCCUACGGGAGGCAGCAGUAGGGAAUUUUCGGCAAUGGGGGGAACCCUGACCGAGCAACGCCGCGUGAAGGAAGAAGGUUUUCGGAUUGUAAACUUCUGUUAUAAGGGAAGAACGGAUUGGAUAGGGAAUGAUCUGAUAGUGACAGUACCUUAUUAGAAAGCCACGGCUAACUACGUGCCAGCAGCCGCGGUAAUACGUAGGUGGCAAGCGUUAUCCGGAAUUAUUGGGCGUAAAGAGUGAGCAGGCGGUUUAUAAAGUUCGGAGUUAAAUACAGUUGCUUAACGACUGUUAGCUUUGAAAACUAAUAGACUAGAGUGCAGUAGAGGUUAGCGGAAUUCCAUGUGUAGCGGUGAAAUGCGUAGAUAUAUGGAGGAACAUCAGUGGCGAAGGCGGCUAACUGGGCUGUAACUGACGCUCAUUCACGAAAGCGUGGGGAGCAAAUAGGAUUAGAUACCCUAGUAGUCCACGCCGUAAACAAUGAGUACUAAGUGUUGGGGGAACCCAGUGCUGAAGUAAACACAUUAAGUACUCCGCCUGAGAAGUACGUUCGCAAGAAUGAAACUUAAAGGAAUUGACGGGGGCCCGCACAAGCGGUGGAGCAUGUGGUUUAAUUCGACGCAACGCGAAGAACCUUACCAGGUCUUGACAUCCGACGCAAGACACAAGAGAUUGUGGGAUAGUUAUGGUCGAGACAGGUGGUGCAUGGUUGUCGUCAGCUCGUGUCGUGAGAUGUCUGGUUAAGUCCAACAACGAGC